GGCGGCGUAGCCAAGUGGUCAAGGCAGAGGUUUGCAAAACCUCCAUUCAUCGGUUCAACUCCGAUCGCCGCCU
rnacentral:tRNA from 1 species